rnacentral:rRNA from 1 species
CACGUAGGGGGCAAGCGUUGUCCGGAAUCAUUGGGCGUAAAGAGCUCGUAGGCGGCUCAGUAAGUCGGGUGUGAAACCCUCAGGCUCAACCUGGGGACGCCACCCGAUACUGCUGUGGCUAGAGUCCAGUAGGGGAGUGUGGAAUUCCCGGUGUAGCGGUGAAAUGCGCAGAUAUCGGGAGGGACACCAGCGGCGAAGGCGGCACUCUGGGCUGGUACUGACGCUGAGGAGCGAAAGCGUGGGUAGCAAACAGG